ensembl:lncRNA
AGGCUGCCAGUGUUAGUGGGUGAGGAAAUCGGGCAUUCAGCUACUCUGGAUGUGAAGGGCUUGCCAUUCUGCCAAGGUCUGAGUGCAUUGAUUAUGUUAAUGCUGUUGGGAAAAAAGAUGCAGACAUGACGCUGCAGAAAGGAUGCAUAAGGGAAUAAUCAAAUUCAAGGAGUGUGCAUAAAGUUGGAGAAGAAAGUGAUUGGCCACGGAAUGAUAAGAUGCAAUAAAUGUUCAUGGAAUUAUAAAAGUACAGACAUAUUUUUAGGAUGAUCUUCAACCAUCUUGCAGUGAUGUCCUUGAGCCUUAUGGGUUAAAGGACCUGUGAUGCCUUUAGGAACGUCCUAGAUAUUGGUGUAUUUGAAUUGUGAUAGGAGGAUAAAUAAAAAGAAACUGGGGAGUUUAAUAGAAAACACAGAGAACCUUCCAAAGAAAGAACCAAGUCCAAAUGAGGAAAACCAGAAGGAUCAUAAAAUUCUGUGGAAUGCACACGAACAAACAGAGUAGGACCAGAGAUGAACUUCCAAAUGGUAACAAUACUAAUAGUAAAACCUUUUCCAAACAUUUCAGGAGCAGCAAGCCUGCCAGAGCAUCAGUACAACAAAUAGAGGAUCAAGAUACAUCAACAUUUUUGAAAAGAUAACCCACAGAAAAAAACAAAACAAAACAGGUUUCUUACAGCUAUGAUCUCACUGGAGGAGUCUAGAGAGCUCCCCUUGGCAGAUCCUUCCUUGUAAGCACUGCUUCAGUAAAAUCAAGAUUUUGAUAGAAGAUAUGUUAAAAAAAUCACUCCCAGAGGAUUCUAAAGGAAUUCCCAAGUGAAAGAAUCGAGGUGUGCAUUUUCUCACAUAAAAAUUAUUUGGUGGAGAAGACUGGCAGUAAGUUAACACGGCGCAAAUAUUCCAGGAGAGUCUUGUAGGUAGCAUAAAGAUGAAUACUGAACAAUUGCUGGUACUCUGUCUCAAGAAAAAAAACACGGGAACAUGAAAUUACACUAUCAAGCUAGAGACAAGAGAUAGUUAUGCACAACGCAUGGAUGACACAUAGACCUUUCCAAAGGUUGCCAGAAUUGAUAAAAUUUUGUAAUGAUUAAACAUUUUAAAACAUAAUGGGAGAAAAUCCUAUAGUGAAUUAAGUGCAAAUAUGUCAUCACUGGUUUAGAAAACAUAAAUCACAGGAUUAUGAGGAAAUACUUACGAAAGACCAACUAUCUUUAUUCCAUUCUUAUGCUCUUCCAUAUGUAUUUGCUGUUUGCCAUGGUCCAACACAAGAUGUCAGAAUGGCUUGGAAGUACUUGUGGUGUUAGGUUUUAUGUUCCAGCAGUUUCCAUGAGCAAAUGUAUCUUUAUUGCUUCAUCUGCAAGUAUUUAAUACUAAGAAGACAAAGAAGGCAACACUCCUUCUCCAGAAUCCUCCUUGAUAUCCUGCAGCAGUGCAGGAUCUGGGGAGGUGAGAGGCAAAUGUAUGAGGGUUGGUUCUUCUCAGUGAUGCGUAGCAAUAGGACAAGGAGAAAUGGCCUAAAACUUGAACAUAGGAAAUUCCAUACAAACACGUGGAAGAACUUCCUUACGGUAAGGGUGACAUGAGUAAUACCAAAGAACCAAUUGCUUCCAUAUUGGUAUGGGAACUUGGGCUACUUCUUCACAGACCUUAACACUGCGCAGAAGUUUAAGCUGGUAUACCUAAUACAGAAAUGUAGGGUAUGGAGUGUUUUAGAAAACUAGGUGUACACAGGGAAAGGGUUAUUUACUUCUUUGAAUCCUCCUAAGCAAAUAUGAAUAAGGUGCUAUCCCUAUACAAAAACACUGUAUGUCAGGGCCUUCUUAAGGUAUAUAAUAAGAUAUUAUCUAAUGGUUAUUUUUUAAUCUUCAUUGUGACAGUAUGGCUGGCUUUGAUAGAAUUUUUUCUAAAGACUAUCCAGAUCUCUCCCGCAGGUUUGUUUGUUGUUGUCUUUUUUGAAUUAAGAACAACCUAGCAGAGCUUACUUUAAAUAAUACUGAAUGACUAAAAGGAAACUUUUAAUAAGAAAGAGUCCUGUAAGUCCCACCCACAAUUGCUAGUCAACAAAAGAGAAAAUGUACUUCUGAAAUUUCUGGGCUCAGUUCUGGUACUUGCUGGCUGCACCAAUGAGAUGAGUUGGUAUAUUGCCAGCUCCUGUUCAUGUUCUUGGAAAACUGUGAUUUGCAUAAGCUUUUGACUGUGUUUUUCUAGGCUUUGGCCAAGAUUUUAGGAUUCCAUACUAAAAAGGUGCUGCAAGGUGCAUCAGCCUUAACACCACAAAGCUGGAUUGGGUCCUAAUACAAAUGGUCAAAACUUCAAAUAUUUAUACUUCAAAAAUGUAUUUCAGUAAAAAGUGGUGUGUUAUUUAAUAAAGUUUUCUCUGGAAUUGUCCAG